rnacentral:sRNA from 1 species
AUGGGGAGAAGGAACCCCCAACAACACUACUCUGGGUUCAGUAUUUCCUGGCACAGCACUUUGAUAAACUUGGACAGUAUUCUUUGGCUUUGGAUUAUAUUAAUGCUGCAAUUGCUAGUACUCCAACUCUAAUAGAAUUAUUCUAUAUGAAAGCAAAAAUUUACAAGCAUAUAGGUAAUCUCAAAGAAGCUGCAAAGUGGAUGGAUGAAGCACAGUCUUUGGACACAGCUGAUAGAUUCAUCAAUUCCAAAUGUGCAAAAUACAUGCUUCGAGCAAAUAUGAUAAAAGAAGCAGAGGAAAUGUGCUCCAAGUUCACAAGGGAAGGAACAUCUGCCAUGGAAAAUCUAAAUGAAAUGCAGUGUAUGUGGUUUCAGACAGAAUGCAUUUCAGCUUAUCAGCGUCUGGGGAGAUACGGGGAUGCCUUGAAAAAAUGUCAUGAAGUAGAAAGGCAUUUUUUUGAGAUAACUGAUGACCAAUUCGACUUCCAUACAUACUGCAUGAGAAAGAUGACCCUUCGUGCCUAUGUUGACCUUUUGAGAUUAGAAGAUAUACUCAGAAGACAUGCCUUUUAUUUCAAGGCUGCUAGAUCAGCGAUUGAAAUAUACUUGAAAUUGUAUGAUAAUCCCUUAACCAGUGAAAGCAAACAACAAGAAAUAAACUCAGAAAACUUGUCAGCCAAAGAAUUGAAGAAAAUGCUUAGCAAGCAGAGAAGAGCUCAGAAAAAGGCUAAACUAGAAGAAGAAAGAAAGCAUGCAGAAAGAGAACGUCAACAGAAAAA